rnacentral:rRNA from 1 species
UGGGGAAUAUUGCACAAUGGAGGGAACUCUGACGCAGCGACGCCGCGUGAACGAAGAAGGCUUUCGAGUCGUAAAGUUCUUUUAUAUGGGAAGAUAAUGACGGUACCAUAAGAAAAAGCCCCGGCUAACUACGUGCCAGCAGCCGCGGUAAUACGUAGGGGGCUAGCGUUGUCCGGAAUCACUGGGCGUAAAGGGUUCGCAGGCGGAAAUGCAAGUCAGGUGUAAAAGGCAGUAGCUUAACUACUGUAAGCAUUUGAAACUGCAUAUCUUGAGAAGAGUAGAGGUAAGUGGAAUUUUUAGUGUAGCGGUGAAAUGCGUAGAUAUUAAAAAGAAUACCGGUGGCGAAGGCGACUUACUGGGCUCAUUCUGACGCUGAGGAACGAAAGCGUGGGUAGCAAACAGG